rnacentral:rRNA from 1 species
GACGAACGCUGGCGGCGUGCUUAACACAUGCAAGUCGAACGGAAAGGCCCUGCUUUUGUGGGGUGCUCGAGUGGCGAACGGGUGAGUAACACGUGAGUAACCUGCCCUUGACUUUGGGAUAACUUCAGGAAACUGGGGCUAAUACCGGAUAGGAGCUCCUGCUGCAUGGUGGGGGUUGGAAAGUUUCGGCGGUUGGGGAUGGACUCGCGGCUUAUCAGCUUGUUGGUGGGGUAGUGGCUUACCAAGGCUUUGACGGGUAGCCGGCCUGAGAGGGUGACCGGGCACAUUGGGACUGAGAUACGGCGCAGACUCCAACGGGAGGCAGCAGUGGGGAAUAUGGCACAAUGGGCGGAAGCCUGAUGCAGCAACGCCGCGGGCGGGAUGACGGCCUUCGGGUUGUAAACCGCUUUCGCCUGUGACGAAGCGUGAGUGACGGUAAUGGGUAAAGAAGCACCGGCUAACUACGUG